rnacentral:rRNA from 1 species
CCUACGGGAGACAGCAGUGAGGAAUAUUGGUCAAUGGACGAGAGUCUGAACCAGCCAAGUAGCGUGAAGGAUGACUGCCCUAUGGGUUGUAAACUUCUUUUAUAUGGGAAUAAAAUGUUCCACGUGUGGGAUUUUGUAUGUACCAUAUGAAUAAGGAUCGGCUAACUCCGUGCCAGCAGCCGCGGUAAUACGGAGGAUCCGAGCGUUAUCCGGAUUUAUUGGGUUUAAAGGGAGCGUAGGUGGAUUUUUAAGUCAGUUGUGAAAGUUUGCGGCUCAACCGUAAAAUUGCAGUUGAAACUGGCAGUCGUGAGUACAGUAGAGGUGGGCGGAAUGCGUGGUGUAGCGGUGAAAUGCUUAGAUAUCACGAAGAACUCCGAUUGCGAAGGCAGCUCACUGGACUGCAACUGACACUGAGGCUCGAAAGUGUGGGUAUCAAACAGGAUUAGAUACCCUUGUAGUC